UAUUUUUUCAUAUUUUCCUUUUUUUUAUUUUAAUAUUUAUUUGUUUUCAGUCGGAAAAGACUUUUGAAGAUCAAUUCUGAAAAUCCAUCAAUGCGACCAGUUUUGCAAGAAGAAGUUGCCGAGGAGAGUAUACACUGAGAUCGAUCGAGGUACAUAAGAACCAGUUCAAGGUCGAAGAAUCAUAAAUAUUAUGCAUUUCACUUAAAUAAUAUAGCAACAAUUGCCCAUGGUGUGGAAAAUGAACACAUAGCCAUUAAACAGCUUACAUUACAAGAAAAAGUCGUUAUUGACCCUUGUGGUCUAUUCGUGGACCAUGAUUAUCCUUUUAUUGGAGCUACACCCGAUACAUUAAUAGGAGAUAACACAAUUGUGGAAAUAAAAUGUCCGAUAGUGGCCUUCAAGAAUGGGCUUGAAGAAUCCAUUCAACAAAAUAAGAUACAAAUAUGGAAUUACAAUAAGAAAACUAAACGUAUUACUAUAAAUAAGAAUAGUAACUGGUAUUAUCAGAUACAAGGGCUGUUACACGUUUCACGAAGAGCAAAGUGUUUAUUUGGAAUAUGGAGUGGUGAAAAUAAGCCUCUCAAAACAGUAACGAUCUUAAGAGAUGAUGAUUGAUGAGAUGAUUUCUGGGAGAAAAAAAUGAAAGAAAAACUUCUCAAUUUUUAUAUGGAUUGGCUAUUUUCAAUCAGAAUUGGUUGAUUCACGAAGAGCGCGUGUAUGCCACUCAGAGAAGAAAAUCCUCCUCCUCCUAAUUCACCCUGUGAUAAAAAAGAAAAUUACCCUUGUAACAGCAGACUGCUAAGUUUUAACGAAUUUUAAUACUACUGGAAAGCGUAAUAAUGGACGAGAGAUAUAAUUGAAUGUAUUGUAUUUGUCUUUAUUUA